CCUACGGGAGGCAGCAGUGGGGAAUAUUGCACAAUGGGGGGAACCCUGAUGCAGCGACGCCGCGUGGGUGAAGGAGCACCUCGGUGCGUAAAGCCCUAUCGGCAGGGAAGAAACAGACGGUACCUGACUAAGAAGCCCCGGCUAACUACGUGCCAGCAGCCGCGGUAAUACGUAGGGGGCAAGCGUUAUCCGGAUUCACUGGGUGUAAAGGGAGCGUAGACGGCGACGCAAGUCUGGAGUGAAAGCCCGGGGCCCAACCCCGGGACUGCUCUGGAAACUGUACGGCUGGAGUGCAGGAGAGGUAAGUGGAAUUCCUAGUGUAGCGGUGAAAUGCGUAGAUAUUAGGAGGAACACCAGUGGCGAAGGCGGCUUACUGGACUGUAACUGACGUUGAGGCUCGAAAGCGUGGGGAGCAAACAGGAUUAGAUACCCGGGUAGUC
rnacentral:rRNA from 1 species